rnacentral:tRNA from 1 species
GCGCUCUUAGCUCAGUUGGCAGAGCAGCUGACUCUUAAUCAGCGGGUCCGGGGUUCGAAUCCCUGAGGGCGCACCA